AAGGAACCGAAGGUAACUUGCACACCUUGAGCAGUGACUGGGAGUAACACUCUCCUUGACAUUCCCUCGGUACAUAGGAGACGAAUGAACCGAAUGAACAAAUAAACUAGAUAGUUGCCCAAAAAUGCACACAAAGCAUUAUCACUUUUAUUAAUUCAAAUAACGACAUACCAAAGUCGUAAAAGUUGGUAACAAACUCUUCAAAUGAUAUUUCUACUAUAACAUUUUUCGUAGUACUUACCACUACGGGAGAUUUGUAGAAUCGGUAUGAUGCUGUGGAAGAAGAGUUAUAGCGGGUUUCCUCAAUGUGUACAUGUUAUUCUCAUUGUACACUUGCAUCUUAAUUUUCACAUUGCUCUCUCCCAUCAAUGAUUUGCUUUGGAAAAACAACGGGAACAGAAAUCUGGGAGGGAACGGAAAAGUAUAUUCAUAGCAAUCACAAUUUAACGAUAAUUAUUAUGGUCAAAUGAAUACAUAUAUUGAAAAGAAUCGGUCAGCUGGAUAGAAAAUAUGUAAACAGUGCAGCACUUAUGAAGGUAAUUUUAUUUGUUUGCAUCAGGUAGCAAGAGUUUUACGGGGAUUAAUAGAAUUCGUUAUAUAUACACUAACAAUAUAGGACGUAGUUUGUUAUUGCUACCUAGUGUUGGGCGAUACCAGCUAACGGUGUAGU